AAGUCGUACGCUUCUUUUUCACCGGAGCUUGCUCCACCGGAAAAAGAAGAGUGGCGAACGGGUGAGUAACACGUGGGUAACCUGCCCAUCAGAAGGGGAUAACACUUGGAAACAGGUGCUAAUACCGUAUAACAAUCGAAACCGCAUGGUUUUGAUUUGAAAGGCGCUUUCGGGUGUCGCUGAUGGAUGGACCCGCGGUGCAUUAGCUAGUUGGUGAGGUAACGGCUCACCAAGGCCACGAUGCAUAGCCGACCUGAGAGGGUGAUCGGCCACAUUGGGACUGAGACACGGCCCAAACUCCUACGGGAGGCAGCAGUAGGGAAUCUUCGGCAAUGGACGAAAGUCUGACCGAGCAACGCCGCGUGAGUGAAGAAGGUUUUCGGAUCGUAAAACUCUGUUGUUAGAGAAGAACAAGGAUGAGAGUAACUGUUCAUCCCUUGACGGUAUCUAACCAGAAAGCCACGGCUAACUACGUGCCAGCAGCCGCGGUAAUACGUAGGUGGCAAGCGUUGUCCGGAUUUAUUGGGCGUAAAGCGAGCGCAGGCGGUUUCUUAAGUCUGAUGUGAAAGCCCCCGGCUCAACCGGGGAGGGUCAUUGGAAACUGGGAGACUUGAGUGCAGAAGAGGAGAGUGGAAUUCCAUGUGUAGCGGUGAAAUGCGUAGAUAUAUGGAGGAACACCAGUGGCGAAGGCGGCUCUCUGGUCUGUAACUGACGCUGAGGCUCGAAAGCGUGGGGAGCAAACAGGAUUAGAUACCCUGGUAGUCCACGCCGUAAACGAUGAGUGCUAAGUGUUGGAGGGUUUCCGCCCUUCAGUGCUGCAGCUAACGCAUUAAGCACUCCGCCUGGGGAGUACGACCGCAAGGUUGAAACUCAAAGGAAUUGACGGGGGCCCGCACAAGCGGUGGAGCAUGUGGUUUAAUUCGAAGCAACGCGAAGAACCUUACCAGGUCUUGACAUCCUUUGACCACUCUAGAGAUAGAGCUUCCCCUUCGGGGGCAAAGUGACAGGUGGUGCAUGGUUGUCGUCAGCUCGUGUCGUGAGAUGUUGGGUUAAGUCCCGCAACGAGCGCAACCCUUAUUGUUAGUUGCCAUCAUUUAGUUGGGCACUCUAGCAAGACUGCCGGUGACAAACCGGAGGAAGGUGGGGAUGACGUCAAAUCAUCAUGCCCCUUAUGACCUGGGCUACACACGUGCUACAAUGGGAAGUACAACGAGUCGCGAAGUCGCGAGGCUAAGCUAAUCUCUUAAAGCUUCUCUCAGUUCGGAUUGUAGGCUGCAACUCGCCUACAUGAAGCCGGAAUCGCUAGUAAUCGC
rnacentral:rRNA from 1 species